GACACCUGAGGGAACAAAAGCCCACAUUUCACCAGCAGGGAAAGGCCUCGUUGCUGGGCCCCUGGAUGGUCACUGUGCCUAUCUCCAGCUUGGCCCGUGGUGGGUGACAAGGCACCUACUUGCCCUUCUGGUAACUCAGUAAAAUCCACUAUGGGAAUAAUUCAGAUUCUAAAGUGAGAGAUUAGUUAAAAACUUGUAAACCUCAUUAAAUCUAUCAUCUAAAACAUCAAGAAUAUUUUUAAGAACAGAGCUCUAAUUUAAGAGACCGUCUGGUGAAAAUGCCGUCAGCGUUCCUAGCUAAAACUGCCGCCCAGAUGCUAUGUGCGCGUGCGGACGGACUGGUAUUUAAACUUCCAAUUUCCUGUGGCGGGAAAGCCAGGAGUGGGAAAAAUGGCAAUUAGAUAUGUAUUCAGGACCAUAAUCUAAUUAUUUGGUUAGAGUUGAACUCAGUGGCUCCUUCAGGAAGCUCAAAUCCCAAGUCACGAGAAUGAGAACAAAGUGGGCUCUGGACGGAAAUGUCUUGUUGAACAAACUACUCAGAACCCAGGGAAAGAUGGGGAAGAACGUGGCCACAGUUUCACAGAUGUCUGCCAACUCCCAGCAGGUGUCUGCAGGGCCACAAGGGGUCUUCUCCGUCUGCGUCAGUCCUGACCGCACCAAGGCCCUGGAGGCAGGCACGGCAGCCUUGGGCGGGGAGCGAGUCACUAGUCCAGGUGAGUGAUGAAGAGGGGAGACCGCCCUUGGCUAAGAGGCUGGAUCCACCAGGCAGAAGGAACUCCAUCCGCAUUUGAGGUGACAGGAGCCACUAGGAUGUGGGACUGUGACGUCCCGGGAUGCUGACACGAGUGGAAGGUGAGGCAGAAGGCACAGGUUUGGCCUGGAGAGUUACCUGCGGUAAAUGGGGGCACCAGACCAUGGGAAGGAGGGUCUGCUCGUCCUACAUCUGCUCAUACUCAGGGCAGUAGAGUGGCUAGGAGGGUAAACCUCAAGGGAAGACUGAAAGUUAAAAGGUUUUUAAUAUAGAGGAUGGCUGCCAACAGAAAAGCCUUCAGUAAGAGUCCCUAGAGAUGGCGGUGAUACAAACAUCUACACUUUGCUAGAAGACGCAGCUAUGUUAAAAGAGGCAGUCUGCAAAAACAGAUCCCACCCCAGCACACACAGUGUGGGUACGAAGUGCCUGGAGCGCCCUCUUGGAGACUUCUCCCACAGGAGUCAGGCUAUUGACUCCAAUUAGCUGAUGCACACUGGCUGGCAUUCAAGAGAAACAGAUUUUCUCUUGCCCCAUGUCUUCCUUCCCUGGUCACCCUGAAGCCUCGUGGGUCCCAGAAGGUGGCUCUGUGCUGUCCUCUACAAGGUUCAGGGGACUGGGGAUCAGUUUUCUAAAUUUUGUGACUGGGGAGUCGACAGGCUGUCCUCAGGUGCUCAGUGCCCAGUGUGGGAAGCAGGGGCUGGGAGAAAUCUGGGUCGGAGGAGGACAGCCUGAGCAGCCCUGGGGGAAGACAGGCCCCUCCCGGCAGACUCCGCAGCCUGAGCGAGCAGGCAGGUCAGCUUCAGAGACAGCCUGCCGGGGUGGCCCCGGGCACUUAAGACACUGUUCUGAGAAGGACUCCUUAGCCAAGCUCACAAGACUAAGGUAUACAGCAGGACGCCAGCUUCCACUGGGCCUGGAAUCAGAACCAGAGCCUGAUUCACACAUCCCCGAAACGACAGCCCAGGCAGUAGGACCAUGAGACCAGAGUCUGAGGGCCGGAGCUAUCCCGUCACUCGGUAGCCAUGGACCGGGCACUUUCCACUGACCGACUCUGGCCUUUGGUUGGGCUUCCGUGACGGACUCCGUCUGCAUGUCAGAAAGUCACAGUGGAGGUAGGUGGCUUCAGUGUUGCCCUCUUUCGGGAGGCUUUCUAAAUCUACGCUGUCAUCUUCACGAUGGCUGACCUAUUUUAGUUCCCUCAUUGCAAAUCCUGAGAACAGGAUCCUAAAGUACAACAGUUGGGUAGGUUUUAAUAAAUUCAAGGGGGACAGACUUUUGGGCUUCGUUAAUGACUGAUUUGGUCCUAUUUGCCACAGGGCCUCUGGGUGAGCCUCUUGGUCCCAGUAUCUAGAUCUGGGGACAAGUCACCCACUAGCAAUGCUGUGGAUUCAGUAUAACAAUCCUCCUCUGCCUCCCUGUUUUGAUUCCCCAAUAAUUCACUGAGGGUCCCCUAAACCUUGAAUGAAAACCACUGCCCCCAAUUUUUAGACUUAGAUUUGAUUUUUAAUCAGCAAUUAUCCAACGAAUCGUGUGUGUUCAGGGUAAACCGUCUUUCUGACAGACCGUGAUCCUCGAGUGGUGCGUGACCUACUGGAAGUUAAAAGCAGAAAGAAACUGACCUUGCCAAUGUUUGUGUUGUCCAGAGCCGCGUCUACUUCGUCUAACACAAAGAAUGGAGCAGGCCGAAAGCUGGAACGACAGUACAGCCCAAUUGUCCAUCGGCAUGAACCGUUUGCCUGGAGCCACGCAGUUAUAGCUAAUUCCCUCUAGGUCAGCCGUCUCCCAAGACACUCUAUGUUAUAUGUCCCUUCACUACAGAGACCACUGACUGUUCCGUAAAAUCAAGUUACCAGACAGCAGAACUGCAGAACUGCCGAGAAUCUGGAAACUAAGUGACCUAACCCCUCUUUCAGAUGAAGAGAUGGGCCCAGAGAGAUUCUGCCUUGUCCAGGCUAGCCAGCGGUGGAGCGAAUGGGAUCUAGAACACACACAGUUACUAUGGUAACCGAUCUUCUGGAACUGACUUUGCUCCGGAAGUGGGUCACUCAGAUGAUGUGACAGACAUUUAUUUCCCACCAGAAAAAAACCACCAGCAACACAAAGUUCCCAGGAACAUCGAUGAGAACACUUGAAAGGUGUGAUGUGGGACCAAAGGCACCAAGGGUACAUAUUCAAAUAACAAAACUUCCUACAAUAAAUUUCAAAUUGGUAGUAAGCGUCUUCAAAUUCCUGGUUGUGGUCCUUCAAACUAAUUACCUAUCAAUAGCCAGAAAUCUCUUCCGCUCUUCUUCCA